UAAAUAUAAUUAGGCAUUCAAUAAAAUUUAAUUUAAACAUGGGUAGAGUGUGUGCUGUUAAAAAUUGUAAUACUGGUAGUGCAGCAGAUAAGAAACUACGUAAGGAGCUAAAUUUGAAGACUCCUGGAUUUUUUUAAGUACCCCAAAAUCCAACACAACGUCAAGAGUGGAUAAACUCUCUGUCAACGGAAUUAAAUAGUCGUCAGUACGUUUGUGAUUUGCAUUUUCCUGAAAAUUCAAUUCAGCAUUCUUACGUUACUAAUUUACCUGAUGGAGAGAUUAA